CAUCAAACCACACCUUGUGCCGCAGCAAAGAGAAGAAGAAGGACCCUUGGACGUGCUUGCCAUUCAAGUUGGAUUUUUGGAGCUUUUUUAAGUGUUUUCUUUCUUUUGUUUUCAAUGUCUAAAUUUGUUUAUCUUUGCUUUGUAAGUAUGAGGAACUAAACCCCCCCUUAGCUAGGGGGAAUUCGAAACCAUGUUCAUGCUUGCAAUAUGAUUUGAUUACCUUCAGUUAUGAUUUCAUAAGUGGUGAAUUCAAUUUGUUUAACUACUUGAUUGAUAACUUAUUCGUGUAUGUUUAUUAAGAGUGCACACUUAGUUUGCAUGCAUGAAUAUGGUGCUAGAGUAUAAGGGAGUUUCACCUAAUAGUUACAAACUUAUAUUCACAAGUAGUGGAGGUCGCUUAUAAACGAUCGCGUUAAAUAAAUUCUUGGCAUUAGUUUCAUGCUCAUCAUAGUAACAAAUGCCUCGUCAAUACUUAUAGUUUUCAUAAUGCUUAAUGAUCUUUGAUUGUAUCUUUAUUGUGCUGUUCACGUAAAGAACUUUUGAAGAAUGCUUGAAUUGUUGUAUGCGCUUUCCCAUCCAAUUCAAUAACUUAAGGAGAACUUGAAGGUUAAUUUAAGCGGACUUAAUUAACCUGGGGUGUUGAGUUUCAUGAUUGAUCGAAAGAACAACUGAAAAUUGGUUUAUGUGCAAGUAUGUCAUGUGUGGAGAAGAACCUCCUAGCUAGCCUUCCAUCUAUUCAAUUUACUCAAAUUCGUGCAAAUUUCAUUAGUUCUUUAAUUUACUUGUUUUGUUUUCAAAUUCAUCAAAAUGAAAACCCCCUUUACUUUAAAGUGUUUUAUUAGUAAAAAUCUGUUUUGAUUUGUGUUUUUAGGUGUCCCAAAAGUGUGUUAGAGUCCAAAUCUGCCCAGUUUGUGUUUUUAGGCAGAUUUGAGCAUUUUUAGCUUGUUUUGAGUCCUUUGAGUUUGUUUUAAGUUCUUUGAGUCCAGUUUAGUGUUUAAACUUUGUUUAUAUGUUUUUAAGUCACUUUAGAGGUUUUAGCAAGCCCUCAUAAUCCCCGGGUACAACCUUCACGUGAUUGUUCACCUCCUGCACCGCACACUCAC
rnacentral:lncRNA from 1 species